rnacentral:rRNA from 1 species
UACGUAGGCAGCAAGCGUUGUUCGGAGUUACUGGGCGUAAAGGGUGUGUAGGCGGUUGGAUAAGUGUGGUGUGAAAUCUCCCGGCUUAACUGGGAGGGUGCGCUACAAACUGUCUGACUAGAGUGUGGGAUGGGAGAGUGGAAUUCCUGGUGUAGCGGUGAAAUGCGUAGAUAUCAGGAGGAACACCGGUGGUGUAGACGGCUCUCUGGACCAUAACUGACGCUGAGACACGAAAAGCGUGGGGUAGCAAAACAGGGA